ACAAGUAUAAUAUAGUGGUUAUUAUCUCCGCCUUCCAAGUGGAUCACCUGGGUUCGAAUCCCAGUACUUGUA
rfam:Cryptococcus amylolentus CBS 6039 supercont1.15, whole genome shotgun sequence.